CUUGCUAUGUUGCCCAGGCUAGUCAACUCCUGACCUUAAGUGAUACUACUGCCUUGGUCUCCCAAAGUUUUGGGAUUACAGAUGCGAGCCGUAGCAUCUGGUUGCUGUUUUUAGUAAUGAUCACUAAACUGGAUAGAUUACUGGGAUCGAUGUUGUAAUAUGCACAUAGGAGUGCCAGGAACCUGCUAGACAUCGCCUGUGCUUUGCCCUGUAUUUGGAAGCCCAUUGGGAAAUUUGAAAAGGUCUGAGAAGAAUCAUCCCGUCUGUUAAGUGAUAAUUUGAGAAGAAAGAAACAUCGUCCUUGAAGUGCAGAGAGUUGCUUCUCUCUUGACACCUUAGAGGCAAGUCCAGGGAGCAGAAUUAAGUGACAGUAAAAGGAAAAGAUCACAUGUAUCACAGGAAUGAGAAAUCCUUAUGGCUAAGUCAGCUUUCCACAGUUAGGCUACACUUUGAUGUUGGCAAAAGUUUCCCUAGUGGGAGAGACAUAGGGAAAAGGGCAGAGGAAUAAAGAGACAGCUUCACUUACCCAGUCUAAGUAAAGAGGUGAACAGUUCAUCCAUCUAAUAUUUAAUAUGGGCUUCUCUUGUGAAGAGCUGGAAAUGCAUUUAUUAAAGUCUGCAUAAGCAGUUGAGUUAUAACCUCCAAAAUAAACUGGAAGAAAUAAAGGAAAAGAAACUGACUUACUGAAAAGUUUAUAAGCCCUCACAGAGAGCCAAGCUGCAAACAAGAAUCCAUGCAGAGCUGAAGGGAUGUCUCCGGGGGAUUAGUUGCAGAAUUGUUUUCUCUAGUGGAUGCUGUAGUGUAUGGACCGAUUCCUCCAUUGAUGGCCAAACUACUCAUUCCCCCACCUGCUGAGAAUCAGAGUGUGGACGGCUGAUGACUCAUGACUGAGUUCCUUACCAGGAAUUAACCUUGACUGGGCCCAAGUGUAUGCUCCCUGUCUGGGUUCAAAUUAAAAUCCAAAACGUAGUCUAUGUGGGAGUACAGAUACCCAGUCAUCAUGUCUCAGUUUGGGGCAGCUCUGAUGGGUCCUCCCAGUUCUAGAACCAGCUGUAGUCUUUAUUGUAAUGGCAUCAUAGUUCAGCUUGCCCUUGCCUAAUUCUGCUGCCUUCCUUUCUUCACUGGUGUUCUUUCCCAAACAACUCGGGAAUAAAUUCC
rnacentral:lncRNA from 10 species